UACGUAGGGGGCAAGCGUUGUCCGGAUUUAUUGGGCGUAAAGAGCGUGUAGGCGGCCAUACAGGUCCGUUGUGAAAACUCUGGGCUUAACCCAGAGCCUGCAUUCAAUACUGACAGGCUAGAGUUCUGGAGGGGAUAGCGGAAUUCCUGGUGUAGCGGUGAAAUGCGUAGAUAUCAGGAGGAACACCGGUGGCGAAGGCGGCUAUCUGGACAGAAACUGACGCUGAGGCGCGAAAGCUAGGGGAGCAAACAGG
rnacentral:rRNA from 1 species